GGAAAUUCAGAACUUAGGACUUGAGGGCAGGGGAAUGCUGAGGCCAAGGCCAUCCCCCUCACCUCUCUAGGGCCCAGGUAAUUCCACAGCCAAGAGGCAGAGCCCGUGCAAGGCCUAGGCUGGCCCUGAGAGCCUGUCCUGCACCCUCUGUGAGAAGGCUGGGUGCUGUCUGGGACUGCAAGGCCAUGGGUGCGCCCCUCUCUUCUUCGUCUCCCUUCCCCCAGCCUGGGGUGCGUCACAAGGGUGUUUUUCUAGACUCAGCUGGAACAAGGUCAUCUGGGCUUUGGAGGGGAAGAGCUGCAAGUGCCCUAGGUCAGUGCUCCCAGGGACUUGGCCAGAAAGCACAGGGUGGGGGUGGGGGUGGGGUGGAACACAGGGAACCCUGGGAGCCCUCAAGAAUCCCAGGGCUGCUCUCAGCCAGAGGGUCUCCCAGGGACCACAAAGCCCAUCUCUGCCUCCAUGCCAGAGAGAUCCCAACCCAUCCCAGGAAGAAAGCCAGAUGUUCUAAAGACCCACCCUUUCACACAGUGGCUGUUGGUUUGGUCUACACAAUCUUCCCCAUUUCUAAUCUGAAUCUUUUUUUUUUUUUUUUGGAUACCUGGGAUUGAACUCAGGGGCACUGGGCCACGGAGCCACAUCCGCAGCCCUAUUUUGAAUUUUAUUUAAACACACUUUCACUGAGUUGCUUACACCUGGUUUUUGCAGAGGCUGGCUUUGAACUCUCAAUCCUCCUGCCUCAGCCUUCCAAGCCGCUGGGAUUCCAGGCGUGUGCCACUGUGCCUGGCUCUAACCUGAAUCUUUUCUGCAAAUCUGAUAGACACCUUUAGGUUCCAGGAAUUAUUCAUGAUAUCCAGGAAGCAGUUUGUUUUUCCUCUUGUGAAUGAGCCAAAUUUGGGGAAGAGUCUAAGCUGCUGGUCUCCAGCCUCGCGGCCCCCAGCCCUCCUCCCCACCCAGCCACAUGGGAAAAUGCCCCGUUAGCCCUUCCAGUCAUGUGAAUGAGGCCACGAUUCAAAGGCAGUGGGCAAGAAGGAGGCCACAUAGAGCAGCCCGAAAGAACCAGCCCUUUGUGCUAGGCUGGGGUCCUUGGGGGAUGAGUGCAUGUUUGGCGUAUUUAGAAAGAUUUCUUUUUUAUAUAAUGAGCAGAGAGGAGGAAAGGGGAGGGCGAGACAGAGAGGCCAAAGGCAGGACUUGGGAAAAGAAGCAAGAGCUGGGGUGAGAGCUGCAAGAGCCACUAGAAGAGCAAAGGGAGGGAUGUAAAGGGGGCCAAAGAGUGCGGGGCAGGGAGAGGGGAAUCAAUUCUUUUUUUGGUACUGGGGAUUGAACCCAGGGGUGCUUAACCAUUGAGCCACAUCCCAGCCCUUUUAAAAAAUUUUUAUUUAGAGACAGGGUCUCACUAAUUUACUUAGGACCUUGCUAAGUUGCUGCAGCUGGUCUCAAACUUGAGAUCCUCCUGCUUCAGCCUCCUGAGCCUCUGGGAUUACAGGAGUGUGCCAUCGUGCCUGGCUGAAAGUGGGCAAUUCUUAAGACCCACAGAGAUAGUGACUGUGUGGAGUUCUUCAGAAAAGCAAGGUUGCUCACUUAUUUGGGGGUGGACGGAUGGAUGAAAUGGAGGUGCCAGGAGAAGGUUUUCCUUCGAUUUUACUUGGGGGAAGAACGAGACUAGCUUUGACUGUGCUGGGACGUGCUCGGUGCUCUAUAAGCAUUAUAUCAUUCAGUCCUCACAACAACCAAAUGAGACAGGGACUAUCUUUAGCCCCACUUCACAGUUGGGGAGCCAGAGCCCUUGAGAGGGUAUGCACUUGCUAAUGCCUAUCAUGAUAGCGGUCAGCUAAGAAGCAGGGUCUGCGUCGAAUCCCGCCUUCUGGUCUUUGCUCACCAUGCUGCUAGGCUAGGUGGGGCAUGGUGCACCUCAGGAGAGAUGAAAGGAGAGCCCCAAAUCAUCCAAUGGUGGGGGCAUGCCAAGAGGAGACUUGGUUCUAGGACAGUAAUAUUUUCUAGUCGUCUCAACAAGCCUGCCUGGGAUCUUUUUUGGGGGUCCUUGAUGAGGUUGGGCACCCCAUCUCCCCUCCACCUGGGAUCCUCUCUGCCACAAUCUGAUCCUCCCACAGAGAAUAGACAGAGGGUCAUUUCCUUCAAUGUCCUGCGUCCUCAGUAACCAGAGUUCUGGGGUGGCCCAGGAGACAUCUUUCCUCCUCAGUUCUUGGCAAAGCAGAUAUAACCAUGGCUCUCAAGAGCCCCUGUUCUCCAUACCCCCUCCCCUCUCUUCUUCCUGUUUUCCAUUCAGCCUCCCCUCUGUUUAUGCAUUUGUUUCUCCAGGACCUGCCUUCACUGGCCUGGAAGAGGGGGACACCUGGCUCUGUGCUGGAAUCCUCAGGUUCAUACAUUCAGAAACAUUUCUAGAGCAGAGACUUAUUUUGGAAUAAGCAAGGAAGUGGGCAAUAACACAGUCUCUGCUCUUACAGGGCCUGACAGCUGGGGCAACGAAGGAGCCAAUCAACGAGUCCACUGCAUGGCGAUAGGGAUGGCUGCAGGGGCCCUGGGAGGCGGGGAGGAGUGGCAAGUUGAGGAGGGCUUCCUGGAGGCAGUGGGGACAGACAAGUCUUGAAGAGAGACCCUCCCUUUAUCAAAUUCUAAUUUACUAUUCCCUUUUCUCUGCUCUUACAACCCAUUUUUGGAAAACAACAGCCAUUCAUCCAUUCGCUAAUGCACUGCAGAAUGUGUGCCAGGCACUGUGCUGGUGUUUGGAAUUCACCAAUGGUGAAGACCGACUUGCUGCCUUCCUGAAGCUGCCAGACCAGUGAGAACCACCAAGCAGGCAAGCAAGGACCCCACAGAGCCCACGUGGAAUCUGUUCUCUCAGAGAAAGGCCUCAAGUCAAGGAGGAGAAGCCACGAUGGCCAUUUUACAGAGGUGGUGGCUUGUCCAAGCCAUAGGGCAAGUACACAGGGAAUCUGAGGCCCCACCUCAGUCGUCAGGCCCUGAGCGCCUGUUCUUGUCUCAUACUUGGGUGGUCCUUGCAGAAAAAUAGGGGCUGAAAGUAAGCUUGCUACCUAAGGGUGACUGGGUGUGGGGUGGGCAAUUAGGCAAGAGAAGAAAUUGAAGACAUUCAAUAGGAAAGGAAGAAGUGAAACUAUCACUGCUGAUAUGAUCACAUGAGUAGGAAGCUAUAAGGAGUCCGUUACAAAACCGUUAGAAUUCAUCGCAGUGUACAAAAACCAACACACACAAAUCAGGAACGUUUCUAUUUGCCAACAAGGAAUUUUGUGAAAAACUAAAUGUAGAGAAAUUAAGAGAACAACUCCAUUUACAAUGGCUACAAAAAAUACUUAGGAAUAAAUUUAACCAAGGAAGAGAAAGACUCGUGUAAUAAAAACAAUGAAAUGUGGAUUAAAGAAGACAGAAGUAAAUGGAAAGAGAUCCCCUGUUCAUGGAUCGGAAUCGGAAUAAUUAAUACAGCUAAAAUCUCCAUAUUUCCCAAUGCGAUCUGCAGUUCAGUGCAACCCCCAUCGAAAUUUCAAUGUCCUUUUUCCUAGAAAUAGAAAAUCAGGUACUUUUCUUUGUAACCUGGGUCUAGUAUUCAGUUUUCUCCUGCUUCUCUCUCUUCUCCCAGUAGGUGGGGCCAUGGGAAGGGCUGGGAAGGGCUGGGAAGGGCUGGGAAGGCCCGGAAGUAGAUGUUCUAAGUCCCUGGGCUAAGCCUGGUGGGGUGCACAGAAUGUUCCUUGGCUUCUGCAUCAUCCCCUCUUCCUCCCACCUCCUCCAGCUCCUCUCCAGCCUUCUCACAUUCUAUCUCCCCCUCUUCAUCUUUUGCCUUUUCUUACUCCAUUAAUUUCUUCUUCCUUUCCCACUCAUCUUGCUUUCUCCUUUCCUUCCUCCCCAUUUUUUCUCCCUAUCUUUUAUCUCCCCCCCUCCUUCCCCCUUCUUUUCUUCUUCGAACUAAUUGCUCAAAGGUGAAGACCAGGUCGACUUGUGAAAACCCUGAUCCAUCGCCAUGGUGAUGCUAAUUCAAGCUGAGUUCAAAGGAAAUUGCUCCAGUUAAAACUAACAAGCUGGAGCCGGCGCCCAGCAAGGACCAGUGCCAAGAGGAGCGAGCCCUGAGCCCCAGUGCCCAGAAAAAUAGGAAAACAACCCCAAGGGCCUCUCACACGCCUACUCCUUACCGUGCCCUCCCUUGCAGCCUUCAGGUCUGUCCCAGCCCAGAGCAAAUCUGCAAGGUCUUUGCAGCAAGCCCCCUGUCUCCAGGCCAGACUUCCCAAGCCACGUCAAGCAGCUGGGCAGCCAGCACCAGCUCUGUUUUAAAGCCAUUGCAUAGUCUCCCUCACGCUGCGGUUCUGGGGUUUAACCACCCUUGCUUUGGAGAGUUCUUUACGGUCCACACCAACACUCUGCAUUGCUUUCUAGUAAGGAUAGACUUGGAAGUACCAGGAGCAAAGGAACAAACCCGAAGAGAUGCUUGCUGUGAGUUCGAUGCUGUCCUAAGACUUCAUGAGUGUUUGCUCAAUUUUGUGGGAAAGAUCCCAAUGGAACAAACUGCUAGGAGCCUGGGGUGACUCCAGCAAGGUCUGGCUGGUUUAAAGAACCACAUGGCAGCCCUCAAACUGGGGAGAGAUGCCUCAAAACUGGAAAGAGGAGGGUCUAAGUACCAGUGACACCCUUCAGGGCUUUGCCCCCUCCAGUCCUUCCUUUCUGGCCCCACAGCCUGCAGCUGUGGUGCCUUCCAUCUCAGCACAUGCCACUUGUAGUCUGGUCACCUGCAUGUGGUUCUUCUCUACUCUGAGGGCAGGGUCCAUGCCUUCUUUUUGCACCGAACAAAAUCUGUUCCAAAGCAGGCCGUGGCUCAAUAUUAAUUUCAUGUCUGAAUGCUGAAGGGGAAGGAAUCCUAGAUCCUUGGGAGGUACAAAAAUUUUAGUUCCCUCAGGUCAUGAGACUCUGAAGGAGCUGGGUUAGGGGAGCUCGGCCCCAUGGUACCAACCGCAGACCAGCUGGAGAAUUUUCUGCUGGAUCUUGUAGUUCUGGUCCGUUGGCCAGGCCACCCUGGACACCCUACUCCUUAGCAGCUCUCACCUCUCUGCCUUUGACCUUCCAGAAGACCUCAUUCCUUUGCUCAACACCCAGUUUUGUGUUUUUUUUUUUUUUUAAAUUUGUAUCUGGGAUGGAACCCAGGGAUACUUUGCCAUGAAGCGACAUCUCUAUUCCUUUUUAUUUUUUAUUCUGAGACAAGUUCUCACUAAGCUGCUGAGGGUCUUGCUAAGUUGCUGAGGCUGGCCUUGAAUUUGCAAUCCUCCUGCCUCAACCUUCUGAGGUGCUGGGCUUACAGGCGUGUGUUCACUGUGCCAGGCUUUUCAAUUCAAUUUUAUUGUUUUAAUCCCAAGAUAUCUAGUGAUCCUCUAGGAACUAAAGAGGUACUGGUCUAGCAGAGGGAGAAAUUCCUUGAAGGCCAAGACCACAUCUAUGCAACCAUCACCUUCUGGUAACCAAAGCACAUAAAAAUGCUGUGAGCUCACUGGAGGGCGCCACAAUUAAAUGAGAGAGUGACCUGAGGCCUGGCUGCCCCAUGGGAAGGAGCCCGAGGGCUUCAGCUCUGCUUUCCUCAGAUGUGCUCCUCCGCUUUGGGAAGGCUCCUCUGCUCUUUGUUCCUCAGCUUCUCCGAGUGUAACAAAGGAUGCUCAUUGCUCAGCCACCUAGCGCUCCCAGACACGUCAGGAGAGUCAGGAAGCUAAGAAUGUGGGACAGCGUCCCUACCUGCACCAAGGCCAGCAGCGCCUCCCUCCCCAACCCAGGAGGUGGUGAAUUGAGGUUCAAGCCCAACCUAUGUCCUACAGACUGUGGGAUUCCCCCCACGUGCACCCCAACGACUGUCCUGAAGGGGAUUACUGUGCCUGGAUUACAGAGGCCAAGUCCUGCCAGGAGGGAGGAGGAAGUGACUCAGCAGGGGCUGGGAAGGCCAGGCCAGCCUCCCACUCUGGGACAGCUUGCAGGGAGCUUUGUGCUCAGCCCUGUUCCUUUCAUCCCAGCAUCUCAAAGCCCCUUUCAAGCUGGAAGCAGCCCUGGGAGCUGGGUCAUUAUCUCAAUUAACAGGAGAAAGCUGAGGCCCAGGCUGGUGGGGGCAACUUUCUUCUGAAUUAAGCCUGGGCAGCCAGAACUUCCCAGCCCCAGGCUUCUGACCCCACUCCGGGUUGGCUGCAGGGGCCUGCUGUGGAGCAAGCAGGAGGGGGCCGAUUUGCCCUUGCCUGUCACUCCAAGCAAGGAUCAAGGUCUUGCAUGAGGACCUGGAGGGGAUAUUGGCAGUGCUGGAAUUUCCUAGAGAACAGUUCAGUGAUGCCAGGUGCCAUGUGGUGGCACACGCCUGUAAACCCAGAGGCCAGGGAGGCUGAGAGAAGAGGAUUGAGAGUUUGAGGCCAACCUCAGGAAUUUAGCAAAGCUCUAACCAACUUAGUGUGACUCUGCCUUAAAAGAACAAAUAAAAAGGAGUGGAGAUGUAGCUCAGUGGUUAAAUACCUCUAGGUUCAAUCCCUAGUACCCAA
rnacentral:lncRNA from 1 species